rnacentral:rRNA from 1 species
AGACGGAGGGGGCUAGCGUUGUUCGGAAUUACUGGGCGUAAAGCGCGCGUAGGCGGACCAUCAAGUUGGGCGUGAAAGCCCUGGGCUCAACCCAGGAAUUGCGCUCGAAACUGGUGGACUAGAGUCCGGGAGAGGAUAGUGGAAUUCCCAGUGUAGAGGUGAAAUUCGUAGAUAUUGGGAAGAACACCAGUGGCGAAGGCGGCUAUCUGGACCGGUACUGACGCUGAGGUGCGAAAGCGUGGGGAGCAAACAGGAUUAGAUACCCCGGUAGUCC